rnacentral:rRNA from 1 species
AAGUCCCGCAACGAGCGCAACCCUCGUCCCUAUGUUGCCAGCGGGUCAUGCCGGGGACUCAUGGGAGACUGCCGGGGUCAACUCGGAGGAAGUGGGAUGACGUCAAAUCAUCAUGCCCCUUAUGUCUUGGGCUUCACGCAUGCUACAAUGGCCGGUACAAAGGGCUGCGAUACCGCGAGGUGGAGCGAAUCCCAGAAAGCCGGUCUCAGUUCGGAUUGGGGUCUGCAACUCGACCCCAUGAAGUCGGAGUCGCUAGUAAUCGCAGAUCAGCAACGCUGCGGUGAAUACGUUCCCGGGCCUU